UACGAAGGGGGCUAGCGUUGUUCGGAAUCACUGGGCGUAAAGGGCGCGUAGGCGGCUUUAUAAGUCGGGGGUGAAAGCCUGUGGCUCAACCACAGAAUUGCCUUCGAUACUGUAGAGCUUGAGACCGGAAGAGGUAAGUGGAACUGCGAGUGUAGAGGUGAAAUUCGUAGAUAUUCGCAAGAACACCAGUGGCGAAGGCGGCUUACUGGUCCGGUUCUGACGCUGAGGCGCGAAAGCUAGGGUAGCAAACGGG
rnacentral:rRNA from 1 species